GACGAACGCUGGCGGCGUGCCUAAUACAUGCAAGUCGAACGCACUCUCGUUUAGAUUGAAGGAGCUUGCUCCUGAUUGAUAAACAUUUGAGUGAGCGGCGGACGGGUGAGUAACACGUGGGUAACCUGCCCUAAAGUGGGGGAUAACAUUUGGAAACAGAUGCUAAUACCGCAUAAAACCUAACACCGCAUGGUGUAGGGUUGAAAGAUGGUUUCGGCUAUCACUUUAGGAUGGACCCGCGGUGCAUUAGUUAGUUGGUGAGGUAAAGGCUCACCAAGACCGUGAUGCAUAGCCGACCUGAGAGGGUAAUCGGCCACACUGGGACUGAGACACGGCCCAGACUCCUACGGGAGGCAGCAGUAGGGAAUCUUCCACAAUGGACGAAAGUCUGAUGGAGCAACGCCGCGUGAGUGAAGAAGGUUUUCGGAUCGUAAAACUCUGUUGUUGGAGAAGAAUGUAUUUGAUAGUAACUGAUCAGGUAGUGACGGUAUCCAACCAGAAAGCCACGGCUAAC
rnacentral:rRNA from 1 species